UUGACCUCGGAUCAGGUAG
rnacentral:rRNA from 116 species